CUGAAGCAGAGGGGUACCUCACAAACCUACAGGGCAUGCAGCUAGGUGGAGAAAGGAAGGACAUAGUGUACAUAGGGAGACCCUGACACCGGAAGUGGGUGAAGCAAAUGUAGCCCUAGGUUGGAUACCAUUGAGGACCACACCAAGCAGGAAGCUGGGGAAGGAUUCAGUCUCCACACACCCUAUGGUUCUUGAGGAAGAAAAUACACAACAAGGAAGACCACCCAUAUACAAAACUAUUUAAAAAAUAAUACUUGAUAUUUUUUUCUCUCAUUGCAACAUUAUUCUGGCAAUGGUUGGUUGGAUUGAAA
rnacentral:lncRNA from 1 species